CCUACGGGUGGCAGCAGUGGGGAAUAUUGCACAAUGGGCGCAAGCCUGAUGCAGCCAUGCCGCGUGUGUGAAGAAGGCUUUCGGGUUGUAAAGCACUUUCAGUUGUGAGGAAAAGUUAGUCGUUAAUACCGGCUAGCCUUGACGUUAGCAACAGAAGAAGCACCGGCUAACUCAGUGCCAGCAGCCGCGGUAAUACUGAGGGUGCAAGCGUUAAUCGGAAUUACUGGGCGUAAAGCGCGCGUAGGCGGCUUGUUAAGCCAGAUGUGAAAGCCCCGGGCUCAACCUGGGAACUGCAUUUGGAACUGGCUAGCUAGAGUACAGUAGAGGGUGGUGGAAUUUCCAGUGUAGCGGUGAAAUGCGUAGAGAUUGGAAGGAACAUCAGUGGCGAAGGCGGCCACCUGGACUGAUACUGACGCUGAGGUGCGAAAGCGUGGGGAGCA
rnacentral:rRNA from 1 species